ACUUUAUGAUUUGGGCAUUGCAUUAUCUUAUUAUUGAAUCAUUUCCAAGCCACAUAUAAUGGUUAGCCAUUAUGUUGGAGAAAGAUAGUGAUUUUAUCCCUUAGUU